UGGUAAUUGCUUCCAAUUCUAUUAAAAGAAAAGACAAAUAGCAGCCAAAACCAAUAUGAAACAGCCACUUCUAAUAUUUUAAGCAUCUUAAUUCGCCCAGAAUCAAUUAAGCAGAAACCUGAGCGUUUAGGACACAUGCCCUAAGAAGUUCUACACAGUGAAGGAAAAUAUUGAAUUGCGUGCAACUCGCAACUUACAUGCUUAAUUAGCUUAAGAGGAAAAGACAUGCUUAAUUAGCUUAAGAGAAAAAGACAAGCUAGUGCAGCUGAGAAUUGUCUCUGUGAAACUUUUCAAUGUAAUCAGAAGCUUUCCUGUUGAUGCUAGGCUCGACCACGGUCCAAGGUAGUCCGUCUUCAUAAUAGUCAUCCUUUGGAACUUGUUGCUCCUCAGUUGCAUCUCCUGAUGAUCUCCACCUUUUGGAGAUGUUGAAGAAUAAGUCGAAUAAACUGAAACAGCAGCACCACGACUUUCUACCGCUAGCACCGCGUCUCCUCCAGCUGCCUCCCAUAUAGUUUUAGUGGCUUAAUUUUAAAAUGAAGCUUGCGUUAGCUGUAUAUAUACAUAUAGCUGGUAGCAAGAGAAUCGAAUCUACGAGAUUCCAAACAAGGCGAACGGAAUGGACUUGGGAUGGGAAGGCCGAAGCCCAAGGCCGUGGCUCUUGAAAAGUUCAUCCGUAUCCAAUAGGAAUUUAGGUAGGACGGAUUGGGCUUGCCCAUAAGCCUCACCUCACCUACCUCGCGGGCAGCUGCUACCUACCUCCAACCUCUUUACCUUUCCAUUUCAGUGCAACGACUUUCAAUUUUUAAUCAAAAUAUACAAUCAUAGUCUGAACUUCUAUUCCUGUUCACAACUUUUCUUUGGGUCUCGAAAUUAUUGCCACUGCAAGAAGAUCAAAGAUGUUCCUGAAAUCAUUUGUCUGAUAUACAAAAGACGAGACGUUUUUGGUGUUAUUAUCAAAAAUUUCUCAUCGAUUCAUGGAGUCCAAGACGGGAAGUUUGGACGCCCCGCUGCAAGCGAUUGGCUUCGAAGUUGAAGAAUUGUCCCCCCAGAAGGUCACUGGUCGCCUUCUUGUUACCAACAAGUGCGUUCAGCCAUUCAAGGUGUUGCACGGCGGAGUAUCGGCUCUGAUAUCGGAGGCUUUGGCCAGCAUGGGGGCCCAUAUGGCAUCCGGAUUUCGAAGGGUAGCUGGGAUUCACCUUAGCAUCAGCCAUCUGAAGCGCGCCGAGCUUGGCGACCUUAUCCUCGCCGAAGCUGCUCCUCUCAGUGUUGGCAAAACCAUUCAGGUAACUCGCACUUUUUUAUUCCCAUAAAAUUACCAUUAUCUUGCAUAUGCUUUUAUCAUCAAAUCAGAACAUGCAGUCAACUAUGCUUGGCUUUUAUAUUAUUUAUUUAUUUAUGCCAUCGAUCGUCUAUAUCCACAGAUCGUAGGACACCCAAUCAUCAAUCCUUAUCUGGAUAAGGACCAUACGUUUUAAAUUGCGAUUUAUCGCUUAUCAAGAAUAGCAGUGACAGACCAUGAUUACAUGAAAAUUCAAUGACCGAAUGUUUAAUGUAUUAUUAUUUAUCAUCCUCCACCAGGGAGGCAUUAUAUCAUCUGCUGGAUUUUACUUGACGAUUCGUAUUUUUUAGCUCUUUAAGCUCAUGUGCAAUGACGGAGCGAAGGGCUAGGCCAUAUCCUCCUAACUUUAUGAAAAUUAUAGUUUUAGUAUAGUGUUAUAGAUUUAAAAUUAAAAUGGUCUCUCUAAUUUUGUGAUAAAUAUGUUUUUAGUAUAUUGUUAUGGAUUUAAAAUUAAAUCAUCUCCCUAAAUUAAAAAAUUUUUAUAUUUUAUUGAUCUACUUAUUUAAAUUUAGAACGUCUUGACUUACAAUAUUAAGUUUAUGUUGUUUAUUUUGAUGUUUAACAUAUCACGUGUAUUUUUAUGGACAAAAACAAUUAUAAACAUAGAUAUAUAUUAAAUGUUACUUGGUCCCUUAAAAAUAAAUCCCGGCUCUGCUUAGCUUAUGUGACCGACAAGGUUUGAACUUAUUUUAUAUUCUAAACAGGUAUGGGAGGUGCAACUCUGGAAGGUUGACCCUUCAAAUACUGAGAGUAAAUCUCUAGUUUCAUCAUCCAGGGUUACUCUUCUAUGCAAUAUGCCUGUUCCCGAGCAUGCAAAAGAUGCUGCAGACAACCUCAAAAAGUAUGCAAAACUAUGAAACUCUUCUACUGUACUAUGACUUUUGGCCAAUGUAAUUAAUAAACUUAAACAAUAUAUUGCAGAUGAUACAUUCCAGAAUUAUGCCCAUGGUCUAUAAAAAAUCUGACUCAUUUCACAAAUGAAACUAGCAAGUGAAUUACUAAUUCCUAUAUGGUGUUUGCCUUGCGAUGCUUAGAUAAAGUUAAAUUAUAACCUGUCAAAUAGAAUAUACAUUUUCAUGUUGAUAUGAUUAUGAACUUCUCUGCAACAUAGUAUGGCUCUUGCAAAGCUCAUCAAACAGCGACGCUGUUUUUAGCAACCUUUGUACUUUUGCCAUUAAACUUAAUUACCUAGUUCCAUUGGACAAUAAUUAACUGUGAAUUUUCUAACUGGUGUUGCAAAAGCACUAUUUGCAAGUAUGAAGGCAGUGAUAAAAACAUAAACUGCCCCUGCUAAUAGCUAAGCACACUCGGGAGUUUUGUCCUCCAACUUGAAGUAAUAGUGGCUUCUCUUCCCUAGUCAUUAGGCAAUUGUGCUGUGAAAGAGGGCUCAUAAUAACCACGUCUAACCACCAGCUACGUCACAAUGGUUGAAAUGGAUUACAGACUUGAAAUGAACUAUGAAGAAAGUGAAAACUGUAUUGAAGAUUAUGAUUUCUCCAAUUACAACAACAAGAAGAGUCUCCAAUUACAACAACAAGAAGAG
rnacentral:misc_RNA from 1 species